AAGGUGUCUUGGCUAAUGUGUCUUGGCUAAGGUGUCUUGGCUAAUGUGUCUUGGCUAAGGUGUCUUGGCUAAGGUGUCUUGGCUAAUGUGUCUUGGCUAAUGUGUCUUGGCUAAGGUGUCUUGGCUAAGGUGUCUUGGCUAAUGUGUCUUGGCUAAGGUGUCUUGGCUAAGGUGUCUUGGCUAAGGUGUCUUGGCUAAUGUGUCUCGGCUAAUGUGUCUUGGCUAAGGUGUCUUGGCUAAGGUGUCUUGGCUAAUGUGUCUUGGCUAAGGUGUCUUGGCUAAUGUGUCUUGGCUAAGGUGUCUUGGCUAAUGUGUCUUGGCUAAGGUGUCUUGGCUAAUGUGUCUUGGCUAAGGUGUCUUGGCUAAGGUGUCUUGGCUAAUGUGUCUUGGCUAAGGUGUCUUGGCUAAGGUGUCUUGGCGAAGGUGUCUUGGCUAAGGUGUCUUGGCUAAUGUGUCUUGGCUAAUGUGUCUCGGCUAAUGUGUCUUGGCUAAGGUGUCUUGGCUAAGGUGUCUUGGCUAAGGUGUCUUGGCUAAGGUGUCUUGGCUAAGGUGUCUUGGCUAAGGUGUCUUGGCUAAGGUGUCUUGGCUAAGGUGUCUCGGCUAAUGUGUCUUGGCUAAGGUGUCUUGGCUAAUGUGUCUCGGCUAAGGUGUCUUGGCUAAUGUGUCUUGGCUAAGGUGUCUUGGCUAAGGUGUCUUGGCCAAGGUGUCUUGGCUAAUGUGUCUUGGCUAAGGUGUCUUGGCUAAGGUGUCUUGGCUAAGGUGUCUUGGCUAAGGUGUCUUGGCUAAUGUGUCUCGGCUAAUGUGUCUCGGCUAAGGUGUCUUGGCUAAUGUGUCUUGGCUAAGGUGUCUUGGCUAAUGUGUCUUGGCUAAGGUGUCUUGGCUAAGGUGUCUUGGCUAAGGUGUCUUGGCUAAUGUGUCUUGGCUAAGGUGUCUUGGCUAAGGUGUCUUGGCUAAGGUGUCUUGGCUAAGGUGUCUUGGCUAAUGUGUCUCGGCUAAGGUGUCUUGGCUAAUGUGUCUCGGCUAAUGUGUCUUGGCUAAGGUGUCUUGGCUAAUGUGUCUCGGCUAAGGUGUCUUGGCUAAGGUGUCUUGGCUAAUGUGUCUCGGCUAAGGUGUCUUGGCUAAUGUGUCUCGGCUAAGGUGUCUUGGCUAAUGUGUCUCGGCUAGAGUGUCUUGGCUAAGGUGUCUUGGCUAAGGUGUCUUGGCUAAGGUGUCUUGGCUAAGGUGUCUUGGCUAAGGUGUCUUGGCUAAUGUGUGUCGGCUAAUGUGUCUUGGCUAAGGUGUCUUGGCUAAGGUGUCUUGGCUAAGGUGUCUUGGCUAAGGUGUCUUGGCUAAUGUGUCUCGGCUAAGGUGUCUUGGCUAAGGUGUCUUGGCUAAUGUGUCUCGGCUAAGGUGUCUUGGCUAAUGUGUCUCGGCUAAGGUGUCUUGGCUAAUGUGUCUCGGCUAAUGUGUCUUGGCUAAGGUGUCUUGGCUAAGGUGUCUUGGCUAAGGUGUCUUGGCUAAGGUGUCUUGGCUAAGGUGUCCUGGCUAAUGUGUCUUGGCUAAUGUGUCUUGGCUAAGGUGUCUUCGCUAAUGUGUCUUGGCUAAGGUGUCUUGGCUAAGGUGUCUUGGCUAAGGUGUCUUGGCUAAGGUGUCUUGGCUAAUGUGUCUUGGCUAAGGUGUCUUGGCUAAGGUGUCUUGGCUAAGGUGUCUUGGCUAAGGUGUCUUGGCUAAGGUGUCUCGGCUAAGGUGUCUUGGCUAAGGUGUCU